rnacentral:rRNA from 1 species
UGGGGAAUAUUGGACAAUGGGGGAAACCCUGACCCAGCAACGCCGCGUGAAGGAUGAAGUAUUUCGGUAUGUAAACUUCGAAAGAAUAGGAAGAAUAAAUGACGGUACUAUUUAUAAGGUCCGGCUAACUACGUGCCAGCAGCCGCGGUAAUACGUAGGGACCAAGCGUUGUUCGGAUUUACUGGGCGUAAAGGGCGCGUAGGCGGCAUGACAAGUCACUUGUGAAAUCUCUGGGCUUAACCCAGAACGGCCAAGUGAUACUGUCGCGCUAGAGUGCAGAAGGGGCAAUCGGAAUUCUUGGUGUAGCGGUGAAAUGCGUAGAUAUCAAGAGGAACACCUGAGGUGAAGACGGGUUGCUGGGCUGACACUGACGCUGAGGCGCGAAAGCCAGGGGAGCAAACGGGAUUAGAUACCCCGGUAGUCCCUGAGCGGGCUGGCAAGGCGCAU